AUCAAAACUUUUAACAACGGAUCUCUUGGUUCUGGCAUCGAUGAAGAACGCAGCGAAAUGCGAUAAGUAAUGUGAAUUGCAGAAUUCAGUGAAUCAUCGAAUCUUUGAACGCACAUUGCGCCCGCCAGCAUUCUGGCGGGCAUGCCUGUUCGAGCGUCAUUU
rnacentral:rRNA from 1 species